rnacentral:lncRNA from 1 species
GCCCUCCGCCUAUCCAGCAAGGAGCCGACCCGGGCACAGGACCUUCCCGCUGGAGGGCUGUGUUACGGGGGGUUCCCCGAAUUUAGUCCCACAUCGGCUAAUCAGCGGAAAGGUCUGUGCCUUAAAUGGGGGGCUCAAUAACCUCUUCUCACCGAGGCGCCUUUUGAAGGGCAAACCCGUGAGGGGUGGAAUGGGUGGUUCCACCCGGGGCGCCGUCAAAGCGCGGACCCCCGGGAGCGGUCACGAUCCCCGAUCCCCAAAGCGGACAAUACCUCGGUGAAGACGCGG